UGCCAGCCCAUGGACUAGGGGUGAGGGUUCCCAAGAGGAAUGUUGGGUUUAUUUCCAGGAGCACUUUAUAGCAUGUCUAAGACAUGCAGCAGACCACACCUCAACUCCAGGGUGGGCUUCAUCUCAUAAACCCGAGUCAAUCUGGGGUGCUGGCACAGCCUUAGGCCCCCGUUGUUGGCAACUCUGGUGCACUCCUUGGGCACUAAGAGGUCUAAACUGGGUCAGAUGAAUGGUGAAGGGCCCUGUUCUCUUGAAUAAACAAAACCUUGUGGCAGAUGAUGAGCUGCAGCAUUAACAUUGUACCCAAUGUUAGGUGAGCAGAAUGCUGCCCUAAGAGGUUAAAUCCCUUGAUUUUCCCUGCACUGAUAGGUUAAAGCAGACCUAAGCUGCUUAGGACUUGCUCAUCAUCUACACUGAAUACUUUUAGCCUUGCACUGAGGUGGUCCCAGGAUCCCCAGUGUGUGGGAAGUGCUCAAAUACAUUUGGGAACCCUAUGACAGCACAGAAGCCACUGUGCCAUCCUCAGCUCUGCUGAAGACACACUGGUGGCAUUGUCUACCAGCUGUAGUAAGCAGUGUGCAGGCAAAGGGCGAGGAGCCUGCUCUUUACCACUCAGCUCUGACAGUGACAACCGUUCAGGACAAAGAAUAGGCUCGGUGGCUGUGGUGUAUCCAUGGCCAGGGCUCCUCAGAGCUGCAGCCGUGCAUGGAUGUGACCAGUGGAUGCUGCCCUUUAGAAGCAAAUUGCAGUUGGCAGCUGCUUUCAUUUCACCCCAUAGUAAAAACUGCUGCUCUGACGAGAACCAGUUUGUGCACAACGAGUAACCACAAGAUCUUUGUUUCCUCAUUCCCAGAAUCCAGGCGUAAAUCUGACUCAGAAGUUAUUAAUCUUUGCUGGAUGAAAAGGAGGAAUGCACCGUCCUGUGGAUACAGUGUCUGCUUAGACUGAAGAUCUGAGUAACUGGGUUUCUUCUGCCUUCAUUCUUCCCUCUACCACAAAGGAAGACCUCUUUGUUGAGGCCACGCUAGUUGUUGCAGAAAGAGAACUUGAAGUACAAGAACUUUACCAAAAGCUCAUCCCACUCAAGCUGAAGGCAAUGCCCUCAAUGGUUUGGUGUCAUGUGCGUUCAACCAGAAGUGUGCUCUGGACCUCUUGGCUGUAAAUGGUACAGGAUCACACCACGUUAUAAUCUCAAGCUCUAAUCAGCAGAAACCUUAGAAGCAAAGAAUGUCCGUGUUGUAUGUGCCUCCAAACACACAGAAAAGGAACCACAGGCAUCUCUAUAGCUUGUGAUUUGAAAGGUUAAAGGAGGUCACUUGAAAACCCAACUUACAAGCCAAAUGGUUCCAAUUAAGUGAGGCAGUUCCAGGACAUAAUCAAUAGCAAUGCCACAUUGACUUGACUACUCCUUACCUUGACCUUUAAAGUCCUUUAAAGUAAUUAGCAGUCAGUGUUUGGACUUUUAAAGACAUCAGUAGGACUACAAAAAGGACUGUGUGACCUAAACACGCUUGUUUUGGCUUUAAUGAAAGUAGGGGUAUAAAAAACAACAAAAAGAAUACUCAAUAUAAAGGCUUCUUGGUGGAAUUGUAGCAUCGGGAGGGUUGUGUCUGGUUUUCUCAGCCGGGAUCUGUAAAUGAAGAAAGAAGUGUGCUUUAGAACACCUUCAUCGACAAGAAAAACACCAACUGAACAAGAUGAGAUGUCAUGGCUUUCUCUGGAGCUUGGAAGUAGAGAACAAUCACUGAGUAAUUAUUUUGAUUGCCAGUUAUCUGCAUUAUUAUCCUGCUGUUCUGUUCUCAAUCCCUUCUGAACUCAGUUUUGCUGCCCAUCGGAGGAUACAACAGCUUCCCCAGCAUCCAAAAGAGAGUUAUUUAUUGACAUAGCCUUCAGAUUUAUAUGGUUUAAAUUACAGUAUGUUAAGGUGGAAAGUAUGGUCACCUCAUUGUACAUAAACAUCUUCUAAACAGUGUGGAAAUCACUGAAGUGCCCAGUGCCUCAGCAUCUUUGUUCUUAAAAUGGGAAUUUUGUAAUUGUUACUGUAAUGUUGUUAAGAUUUAACAUGUGCAAAACCUUUGCAAGUCACUGAUUGUGAAUCAUGCAAAACUGCCACGUCCUGCUUUCUUAGAUUACCAAGGUAAUUUAUUAUGAUAUUUAUUUGAUGGGCUUGUCAGAUCUCUAACAUUUGAAUUGUUAUUUAACCCUUAAAUAUUACCUGAGGAGUAAAUUUAGUCUGUUCAAAAAGAUAACUAGCAGAGGUAUUUCUUCUGGGGAAUGAGCUGCUGGCAUAAUGACCAUGGGGUGUAUGUGAAUUAUAA
ensembl:lncRNA